rnacentral:rRNA from 1 species
AUACGUAGGUGGCAAGCGUUGUCCGGAAUUAUUGGGCGUAAAGCGCGCGCAGGUGGUUCCUUAAGUCUGAUGUGAAAGCCCCCGGCUCAACCGGGGAGGGUCAUAGGAAACUGGGGAACUUGAGUGCAGAAGAGGAUAGUGGAAUUCCAAGUGUAGCGGUGAAAUGCGUAGAGAUUUGGAGGAACACCAGUGGCGAAGGCGACUGUCUGGUCUGUAACUGACACUGAGGCGCGAAAGCGUGGGGAGCAAACAGGAUUAGAUACCCUGGUAGUCCACGCCGUAAACGAUGAGUGCUAAGUGUUGGGGGGUUUCCGCCCCUCAGUGCUGCAGCUAACGCAUUAAGCACUCCGCCUGGGGAGUACGGUCGCAAGACUGAAACUCAAAGGAAUUGACGGGG